GACGAACGCUGGCGGCGUGCUUAACACAUGCAAGUCGAACGGAAAGGCCCUGCUCUUGUGGGGUGCUCGAGUGGCGAACGCGUGAGUAAAACGUGAGUAACCUGUCCUUGACUUUGGGAUAACUCUAGGAAACAGGGGCUAAUAUCGGAUAGGAGCUCCUGCUGCAUGGUGGGGGAUGGAAAGUUUCGGUGGUUGGGGAAGGUAUAGCAGGUUACCAGCUUGUUGGUGGGGUUGUGGCUUACCACGGUUUUGACGGGUAGGCGGCCUGAGAGGGUGGACGGCCACAUUGGGACUGAGGGACGCACCAGACUCCAACGGGCGGCAACAGUGGGAAAUAUUGCGCAGUAGGCGGAAGCCUGAGACAGCGGCGCCGCGUGCGGAAUAACGGCCUUCGAGUUAUAAACCACUUUCUCCUGUGACGAGGCGUGAGUGACGGUAAUGGAUAAAAAAGCACCGGCUAACUACGUG
rnacentral:rRNA from 1 species